rnacentral:rRNA from 1 species
CAGUAGCCGCGGGAAUACGUAGGUCCCGAGCGUUGUCCGGAUUUAUUGGGCGUAAAGCGAGCGCAGGCGGUUAGAUAAGUCUGAAGUUAAAGGCUGUGGCUUAACCAUAGUACGCUUUGGAAACUGUUUAACUUGAGUGCAAGAGGGGAGAGUGGAAUUCCAUGUGUAGCGGUGAAAUGCGUAGAUAUAUGGAGGAACACCGGUGGCGAAAGCGGCUCUCUGGCUUGUAACUGACGCUCAUGCACGAAAGCGUGGGGAGCAAACAGGAUUAGAUACCCCAGUAGUCCCUGUCUCUUAUACA